rnacentral:rRNA from 1 species
AGAACGAACGCUGGCGGCAUGCCUAAUACAUGCAAGUCGAACGAACUCUUCGGAGUUAGUGGCGCACGGGUGCGUAACGCGUGGGAAUCUGCCCCUUGGUUCGGAAUAACAGUUGGAAACGACUGCUAAUACCGGAUGAUGACGAAAGUCCAAAGAUUUAUCGCCAAGGGAUGAGCCCGCGUAGGAUUAGCUAGUUGGUGAGGUAAAAGCUCACCAAGCCGACGAUCUGUAGCUGGUUUGAGAGAACGACCAGCCACACUGGGACUGAGACACGGCCCAGACUCCUACGGGAGGCAGCAGUGGGGAAUUUUGGACAAUGGGCGAAAGCCUGAUCAGCGAUGCGCGUGCAGGAAGAAGGCCUUCGGGUUGUAAACUGCUUUUGUACGGAACGAAAAGGCUC